rnacentral:ncRNA from 1 species
GGCAAAAGACUAAUCGAACGAUCUAGUAGUUGGUACUCUUUGAAUUUUCCCUCAAAAUAGUUGGAAUUCGUAAUGAAACUGUUUUAUUCGAUAAAAGCGUUUGAUUUGGAAUUGUGGGACGAAAAGUUUUCACUCUGCUCUCAAACUUUCAAAUGAGUAUGAUUUCUGGUUUGCUUGAAUGAAGCAUAGACAUUAAAUGUGUGCUCCAAGUGAACCAUUUUUAAUAAGCAAAUUCGGCGCUGUGAGGUGAACCAAACUGUGAGUUUAAUUAUGACGGUGGAAUUUUCGACGCUACAAAAUUAAAUUGUCGCAUUAUUGAAAGAAAAGGUAAAAGCCGCAAAUAAUGUUUCGCAAAUAAUGUU